rnacentral:rRNA from 1 species
AUGAACGCUGGCGGCGUGCCUAAUACAUGCAAGUCGAACGAACGGACGAGAAGCUUGCUUCUCUGAUGUUAGCGGCGGACGGGUGAGUAACACGUGGAUAACCUACCUAUAAGACUGGGAUAACUUCGGGAAACCGGAGCUAAUACCGGAUGAUAUUUUGAACCGCAUGGUUCAAAAGUGAAAGACGGUCUUGCUGUCACUUAUAGAUGGAUCCGCGCUGCAUUAGCUAGUUGGUAAGGUAACGGCUUACCAAGGCAACGAUGCAUAGCCGACCUGAGAGGGUGAUCGGCCACACUGGAACUGAGACACGGUCCAGACUCCUACGGGAGGCAGCAGUAGGGAAUCUUCCGCAAUGGGCGAAAGCCUGACGGAGCAACGCCGCGUGAGUGAUGAAGGUCUUCGGAUCGUAAAACUCUGUUAUUAGGGAAGAACAUAUGUGUAAGUAACUGUGCACAUCUUGACGGUACCUAAUCAGAAAGCCACGGCUAACUACGUG